AUUGAACGCUAGCGGGAUGCUUUACACAUGCAAGUCGAACGGAGUGGCGGACGGGUGAGUAAUAUAUCGGAACGUGCCUAGUAGCGGGGGAUAACUAAUCGAAAGAGUGGAUACUACCGCAUACAAUUGGAGAGGCCGAUAUGGGAUUAGCGAGGUGGGGGGGGAAAGGCUCACCAAGGCAACGGUCCGUAGCUGUGUUGAGAGGAAGACCAGCCACACUGGGACGGAGACACGUUCCAGACUCCUACGGUAGGCAGCAGUGGGGAAUUUUGGACAAUGGGGGAAACCCUGAUCCAGCCAUCCCGCGGGUAUGAAGAAGGCCUUCGGGUUGUAAAGCACUUUUGGCAAAGAAGCGUUAUCUGCAGAAGAAGCACCGGCUAACUACGUGCCAGCCGCCGCGGUAAUAC
rnacentral:rRNA from 1 species